rnacentral:rRNA from 1 species
AAGCGCUUGCAACCAGACUUGAGCGCGGCGGUUCCCCUGGCCUUUUGGCCAGGUUACUCCGUCGUGUCCAGGCCAACAUCGGUUUUGGUGGUGGGAUAAAGGCCUUGGGAAUGUAGCUUCUUUCGGGGAGUGUUAUAGCCCUCGGUGCAAUGCCGCCUACUGGGACCGAGGACCGCGCUUCGGCUAGGAUGCUGGCGUAAUGGUUGUAAGCGA